AUGUCAUGUGGCCUGUGCUUUGGACCGUGGUGCGUACCUAUGCCCCCUAUGUCACCUUCCCUGUGGCCUUUGUGGUCGGGGCUGUGGGCUACCACCUGGAAUGGUUCAUCAGGGGAAAGGAUCCCCAGCCUGUGGAGGAGGAGAAGAGUAUCUUGGAGCGCCGAGAGGACCGAAAGCUGGAUGAGAUGCUAGAUCAUUAUUUCCGACUUACCAUAUGGUGGUUGGCGUUGUUCUCGGAGUGCCGAGGUUGCUGAAGUAGAGCUCGGAGCCCCACACACGUUAGACAGUUCCUGUCACAGUUCAAAUUCCUCCCUGUUUCAAUCUUAAGAAACAGUCCUAUCAGGUUGCCAGGAUGUUCUUGACUUCUUAGUCCUCCCCGCCUCAGCCCCAUGAGUAGCUGGGAUCAUAGGCUUGUGCUACCAAGAUGGAUUCUGUUUGUUUUCCACACCGUGUUUCUAAUACUUUGUAUUAUUAUGUUUUACAUUC
rnacentral:lncRNA from 1 species